rnacentral:rRNA from 1 species
GUCAGUACUUAUACUGUCACUUUCCAUUCUCAUCCAAUCUCAAAAGCUAAGCAGGGUCAGGUUUGUUUAAUACUUGGAUGGGAGAAUAUUACUGGGUGCUGGUU